GGUUUCAUGGCGGAUGGUCCGCACCGCAUCUGCCCUGCGUAGGAUUCGAGGUCGUGCAUCGCAGACUACGCCCGUUCAAAUCGGGCUGGAGCCA